rnacentral:lncRNA from 1 species
AGUAAUAGUUGUUGUAUCAUUUGGAGAAGCCUUAAGUGAGUUCAUUCAUUCAUUCAUAGGAAACUAGCAUUAGGAAACCCAAGGCUUUGCUUGUUUCAUUCAUAGUUAGUGAUUUUCUAAUUUGUUUUUAUGACAAAUUUCAGAGACUCUACUGAACGCGAGGUUGCUCUCAUGAUACUCAGAAUGUGAAGGACGUUCUUCACAGAUAAAGUUGACAAAAGGUUUCGUAACAAAGGAUUUACUGAAAGGGCAUCCGGCAAGUUCUUUCGUUCAUAAACUCGAAUGCAUUGUUUAUAAAUAACCAAGCUGAAUGAUUUUAUGAAAGAGAUCCAUGCUGCUGGCCAGAAUGGGGAAAUUUCAGGUGAAUUUUGCAGGUUUAAUGUAGGGAUUCAAGACUGGUACAUCGAUGCAAUGUCAAAUACUAUAUUUGAUUG